GUUAGCCCCGUUUAAUUUAUUUCUUCAUGUUGAUAAAUGUUAUACUCAUAAAAGUUAUGAUAUGAUAUGAUUAUGAUGUGAUAUGAAAUGGCCAUCCGGUACCAAAGAUAUGAUAUGAUAUGAGCUCUUACCGGAAUCUAAAGAUAUGAUAUGACUGUAUGAUUAUUUUGAUGCCUGAUUGAAUAUUUUAUUCGGGAUCGCACCAUUAAUCGUAUCCUACUGAGUAUAAAUUACU
rnacentral:lncRNA from 1 species